ACCCAACUAGCUCAGCGGUAGAGCUGUCAGUACUUAACUGACUGGUCGUAGGUUCAAUUCCUACUUAGGGUU
rnacentral:tRNA from 2 species